AUGACUUUAACAACGUCACAAAGUAAGUAAUUUUAUACUUUCUUGCAGUGUUAUGACUGUUUUCGUUUGGCUCGAAUAAACCUACGCACCGCAAGUUAUACAAUUAAACAAAACCCCUCCAAUUUAAUUAAAUAAAAUGUUUUAUCACUGCAGGUGUAUGUAGAAAUUACGUUUAUUCUUAUUUCUGCAGGGUGGUGUGUAAAAGUGUUUAAGACAGUUUAAAGGAGAAACUAAAGCAGAAAGUUAACCAGAAGAAAGAAAAUGUAAAACAGAAAACAUUAGAAGAAGCUAUUUUAAACCGGAAGGACUAUUUAUAAGUUGCACAAUGUUCACUUGCAAACUCGUGAAAUGCUUCUAGAAAGGAAACAGCUUGAAAAUAAUUAAAUCAUUUAUACCUAAAA